UCCUAGGUGGCUUAGUGGUAAAGAAUCUGCCUGUCACUGCAGGAGAUGCGGGUUUGAUCCCUGGCUUAGGAA
rnacentral:tRNA from 1 species